rnacentral:rRNA from 1 species
AACGAACGCUGGCGGCAGGCCUAACACAUGCAAGUCGAACGCCCUAGCAAUAGGGAGUGGCAGACGGGUGAGUAACGCGUGGGAACGUGCCCUUCAGUUCGGGAUAACCCAGGGAAACUUGGGCUAAUACCGGAUACGUGCGAGAGCAGAAAGAUUUAUCGCUGAAGGAUCGGCCCGCGUCCGAUUAGCUAGUUGGUGAGGUAAUGGCUCACCAAGGCGACGAUCGGUAGCUGGUCUGAGAGGAUGAUCAGCCACACUGGGACUGAGACACGGCCCAGACUCCUACGGGAGGCAGCAGUGGGGAAUAUUGGACAAUGGGCGCAAGCCUGAUCCAGCCAUGCCGCGUGAGUGAUGAAGGCCCUAGGGUUGUAAAGCUCUUUCGCCAGGGACGAUAAUGACGGUACCUGGAUAAGAAGCCCCGGCUAGCUUCGUGCCAGCCGCCGCGGUAAUAC